GAUCCUGGCUCAAGAUGAACGCUGGCGGCGUGCUUACACAUGCAAGUCGAGCGAAGCAUGUAUGCGGAAGUUUUCGGAUGGAAGCAGAUAUGACUGAGCGGCGGACGGGCGAGUAACGCGUGGGUAACCUGCCUCAUACAGGGGGAUAACAGUUAGAAAUGACUGCUAAUACCGCAUAAGCGCACAGGACCGCAUGGUCAAGUGUGAAAAACUCCGGUGGUAUGAGAUGGACCCGCGUCUGAUUAGCUGGUUGGUGAGGUAACGGCCCACCAAGGCGACGAUCAGUAGCCGACCUGAGAGACUGAUCGGCCACAUUGGGACUGAGACACGGCCCAAACUCCUACGGGAGGCAGCAGUAGGGAAUCUUCCACAAUGGACGAAAGUCUGAUGGAGCAACGCCGCGUGAGUGAAGAAAGGUUUCGGCUCGUAAAGCUCUGUUGGUAGUGAAGAAAGAUAGAGGUAGUAACUGGCCUUUAUUUGACGGUAAUUACUUAGAAAGUCACGGCUAACUACGUGCCAGCAGCCGCGGUAAUACGUAAGUGGCAAGCGUUGUCCGGAUUUAUUGGGCGUAAAGCGAGUGCAGGCGGUUCAAUAAGUCUG
rnacentral:rRNA from 1 species